AAGCAAGCAUCGCCUUCUAAUUAAAUUUACCUUUAUGGAAAGUCCUGUUUAAAUUACGACAAUGUCUUGUACAUAAAUCGCGCAACUAAUCCCUGAUUAAAUAGUCGAAUUAAUUGGUUCCAUCAAUUUAACAGUUUUGGGAACCGAUUAUUUUGUUCGAAAGAUCUCGACUUAUUACGUAAGAUACGUCGAAAUAUUGCUUAGCCUUGGUAUUCUGUAAAGCGUGGAAAGUCUAAGAAUUACGACGAGUCGAAAUAAAAACGUUUAAAACGAUCGAAUUCACGCGAUUAAAAUAAUAUUCUGACACGCGACAGACGAUUUGCACAUAAACUUUGGCGAUAAUGGCACGUAAAAGCAUUCGUUUAAAAAUAAUUUCAUGCUGAUUGAUCGGCAGGUUGUGGUAGAAAGCAACUUGGACUCUGUCUCGAUCCUUAUAUCCUGAUUAAUCGAUCGCUCGUUAAUUCAUCGUCGAGUCUACACACUGUCGUUCGACACACCUCUUUACCGUGAUCAAACGAUCGUUCACCUUCUCACAACAACGAUAAAUCACGUCCCUUCAGCCUUGUAUAUUCCUUGCAACCUGAAUCAACGACCUCGCUAUGUAAAUCCAAACUUGUGCAGAAAUAAACCAACUUCGUCUCUCCGAGCGACCAAUCACGUAAUUCUCUACAAUUCGCCGAAGCUCAAGUUGAUCUCGCAGUAUGAUUCAUAGCUGGCGGAAUGUUCGAGGAAAUCGAAUUGAAUCGUCGAAGAACGAUCUGAACGCGGACGAAGUUUCGUUACGGCACGUACGGAGCGUGUACGACAGGUACAACGUACGUUUACACGCCAGACAGCUGAAUGAGCGUUUGUUUUAAACUAACGAUAAAUUUUCCUUGGGAUUUUUUAACAAACAUUCACGGACGUUAGGAUACUGGCUUGUAAUUACGUUUGAACUAGCUUUCCAAUUUAUAGAAACAAUUUCCAACAAUUAGCAGUUGACGUGUACAAUUUCCUGAUCUCAGAUCUACAGAAACUGUUUAGGAAAAUGUUAGAAAAUAACAAAUAUCAAGAAUAUAUGUAUUCUACUCGUCUCAUAUCCUAACUUCUAUUCUCUAAUCCUCCAUAUCCAUGGAUGUCAUAUAUACAAAAUCCGAUACCAACAUCCCACAUCCAAUCUUCUCUAUUUCAUUCCAUUACUCCAUACCUUAGAUUUUCCACCCAUUAUCUUCAGUCCCACAUCCCGUUUUCCACAUACCAGUUCGAUAAUCCCGUGUCAGACGUAAGACGAGUAUGCGACGCGAAAGAUAUUUUCUAAGGAUACUGGAUGUGGGUUAUAGAAUAUGAAAAAGAGAAUAUGAAUUGGGCAUGAGAUAUGGAAUGGAGAGCCUUAGUGUGGCAAGUAAGAUAAAAUAUGUACACGAGUUAGCGAUACUAGUUAUGGGGCACAGGGUAUGAGAUAAGGUGUAUGAAAUAUGGAAUGUGGGAUGAAACGUGGUGAACCGUGGAACGGGCCUGAAAUAAUGCAUAUGGAAUAAUGGGUAUUAGAUUCUGGAUAUUGGAUGUAGGAUAUGCGAAUAGCGUGGGAUGGAAAUGGUGAGGUGUAACGCGCAACUUUUGAAUACGUUUGCCUUAGUAGUUACGGAAAAUGGAGUAUUGGUUUUGGGAUACACGAUGCAAGAUACGACGUAGAACGUAGAAGAUGGGAUAUGGUAUAGCGUUUGUGACGCGUGAUCUAAAUAACCGCGUACGUACGAAAUCGUGUAUCGCGAUAGAAAAUCACAACGACAGAAAUAGAGGUGAUAAGGGAUGCGCGGCGCGUUCCAACUGUUUGCGGUGAUCCCGUUAUUAUAAUCUUUAAAUAGUGACGCGAUUGUUUCGUAAUUAAUUACAAAUUGGCACAGCGGCCAGGGUACCGAUGGUGGCUGACCGACCGAAAAUAAAGCCGGUCGGUAUCGCGCCAAUCGCGUAAAUCACAAUAAAAGCCGGACAGCCGGCCAUGAUUAUCCUCUCCGUCCCGUGACAGAGAUGCGACGGCACUUCACGUCGCGUCGGAUGGAAACGCCUCGAGCGUUCUCGUCGGACAGCAGUCCAUCCUCUUGGCCCCGCUUCAAAACCGAAGUCUGGAUUUUCAAGGAUUAUAUUUCGCUUGGUAAAACGUUGAAGAGCUACGCGACCGGAGUUUCAGCGUGUUACGAGAGAGGGAAAUUGAUUCUUGCAACAGGGCAGGUCAAAACGUGAACUUCAAUAUAUUUAUUUAUCUUUGUCGAAGUAACUACUUCGUAAAAAACUUGAAAUCUUUAUUUAUGUAUAUCCGUGACCUGCAGACUGCUAUUACGCAGAAAUAUUCUAAAUAAGAAGAGGCGCAUAUUAUUGUACCCUUGAACGUACGUUAUGUUUUCGGUUGCAAAGUCUAAGAACAAAGGGACUAAUAAACAAAUUUCUAUUUGUGUUCCCCGUAGCCUCUAGCCAAAGCUAUAAGGUUAACCUUUUUGGUAAUGUCUUUUUGCUAUAAAUACACGAACGUGUUCCCUAUCAUUCCAUUGUUUAGUAACACUACGAGAGUAAGGAUCUGAAUCGGCAUAAACUUAUACUUACAGCGACGAGCAAAAGUGUAAACACACUUUUGUAACUAUCCGACCGAAUACAGUGUGCGAUCUCACAUGCUACUCUAUCCCAAAAUAAGUCGCGGUCUGCCGUUUUGCGAAGAAAUUGGUGCACCAACGUACUUUUCUCUUAUUCUUGCAACUAUCGUAUGACCGACACCAUAUCUCUCUGCAAUUUGCCGCAACGACAAACCUUUAUCACACAAACAAGUAAUACUGUUCUUUUUAUCUUCACUAAGUGGCUUCAUCUUGGAUUAAGCAUAUCAAACUGAAAAGUAAUCAAACGAUGGUGUGGAGCAGUUGACUGCGAAACAUUGGACGAUCAGUGUUUAUUGACAGUUUUUCGUUUCCCUGACGUUUACACGCUAUCAUAAACGUUUCCGACGAAUCCGAUCGCUUGAAAAAUUAGUCGUAGUAUCGCCUUUUACAUAAAAUCAGCGCAGUGUGUUUACACUUUUGCUCGUCGCUGUAUACCUUUAAUUAUUUCAAUAUACUUUUCUAUUACAAAUUCAUCCACUCGUUCUUCGAUCAGUCAACCUCAACCUCGACAAUCUUCAAACUGAACACAGUUUUAAGAUUGUUCUAUAUUUUUGUUACCUCUUUUCUUCCGUUUUGUUCCUUUAUAUCUAUCAGUUUUAUUCGUUUAUUUAAAUUUGUUAUUUCGUUCGUAUUCCUCGUAUAGUUUAUUCUAUUAAUCUUUGUUCGCUUAUUGUAUCUACUCUUUUCUGGCAUAUUUAUUUAACUUUUUAAAUUUUAUUUAUCCCUAUCUUAUUCCGUUAUAUCUACUUCUUUCAUUCGCUGUAUUUUUCUUCCCUUCAUUUUAUUCUUCUCGUUUUAUUUCUUUUCUCUUUGAUGGGGAGUUGCGAAUACUUGAAAUUAAUAAUUAAAGAAAAUAACGAAAACGAACGAACGGCGACUAGAAUCUCGAACGUUUCAGACUCGAAGAUAGACUUUCGGUAGAAUUUUAUUUUCUAUGGAACUUUAAGUAUUUGUCAUAUCUACCUACGAUAUGCUGUGCGAUAUGUUUGUAUAGAAUAUGCAAAUUUCAGUGGGUCGACGAGAAAUACAAACGCAUCACCUUUUAACUCCGGAUUACCAUAUUAAUAUUAUCGUUUAUCAUCGUUUCAAUCGUUUAAACGAACAACCAUCCUCCCGUAACGAAAGUUAUGACAAAUUUUAAACGAUUAUGCAUACACUGUGUUAUAAUUGCACGCGUAAACCCAGCGAAUUAAUCGUUCCCUACCAUCGAAUGCAUUUGUAAUCUGACGCUCCGGACGAAUCAAUAUAAACUAAAUGCAACGAUGGACCAUUUUACAUAGAACGAAAUAAAUAACAAAGGAAAACGUGAUAAUUUCUUGCAUAAAUAUUUCGACCUAAUCUUUUCUCCUUUGAAUACACUUUUUCAAGAUUUUAUUAACGAUUUGCAAUUUCCUUUUGCUUUUUUCAACCCACUGCCGAGUAGAAAUUAAUCCAACGUUUCCAUCGAUCGUUCCUUUCUUUCCUUUACCUGCACUCGUACUCGAAACACUCGUGUAUUCGUAUUGGAUUGCUUCUCGAGCACUCGUCGAAUCGAACAAACCUCGCCCGGUUAAUUUAGAACUUCUUACGUUUUUCGUACACUCGAACAAUUGUACGGAUUCUUUACCGCUUCAUUUUCUGUACGGUUGCGAAGUGCUUAGUGGAUAAAACGACGAAUUGAACUAGUUGUAAGUUACGAUAACCUUAACCUACUUUUUACCUUCCACAAGAUAUAAGUAUUUACAACAUAGGAAAUAAAGCGAGGAAUUUCUUCUACGGACAAAAGGGGUUCGCUUCUAAAAGCGUUAACGGAUUAGAAAAAUAUAGAAAAUGCUUUUGUUCGCUUCGUUAAAGACAACGGACGAUUAAUUAAAUAUUGACAACUCUUUCGGAUCGAAAGCUCAUUAAACGUAUUUACUUCGAGGAGUACUUGUUUAUUUCUCUGUUGGAAAUGGUUACAGAGAAAAUGAACCCUUUCUUCUACAUCGUAAAAAAAAAAAACCGGAAAAAGCGAAGAAGGAUUUCAUUUCAUUAGAGCACGUAAACGAAAUUAGGUCUGCCUUUCGGUGACUGUUCGUCUGGACGAUCUUGUCUCCACUGGUCGGCCAAAAAUUAAUCCGACGCUUCAAACGGCCUGCAGUCGGAACUCGCCAUUCGUAACACACAAUUUCCGUCACGUCGAUUUCCGCCGACAAGAAAAAAGACCGACGAGAUAAACACGCCAGCGCGUUGAUUAACGUUCCCGUUCAAUCGACUCAAAGGAUGCUUCUUCCUUGCUAUUUACUCGUUCGCCGUUUCUCUUUUUAUUUCACGAGAACUGUCUGGAUAUCUUCGAAGUUCGAAAGAAACAAGAUUUUCGGAAUUAUCGACUCGAAAAUUACUACAUCGCGGAGGAAAGGUCGAUGCCUUUAUAUAUCCGUGUUUCAUAUUUGCAAAAUAUAGAUACAACGUGAAAGAACUUCGGAGCUCGAGGAGAAUUUAAUUAUUCGAGCGAUUACAACGUUUAUGUUUUAUUUUGUAGACUUUGAUCGUUGUUUCGGACGAGUUGGCAUUGAAUAAUAAAUUAAUAAAAAUUGCAAUUUCUAAUUUCAGCCUCAACGAUCGAGGUCUAAGUGUAUCAGAUAUUUGAAAUUCCAAUUCUUUUCACCCAAGACGUAAAAUUUUCAGAUUAUAAAACGCGCGUAGUAGCGCAACGCCAUUGAAGCAUCAGAGCGCUAUGAAAUGGAUUCUUUUAAUCGCCUCAUUAUCACCGAGGGCCCGUCCAAGCUGGAAGCUGUUCGAUCGGCUCGUCGAACCGGAACAGGCAGCAAGAAAGCCGUCUGUCGCGGAUAAAAGCACAGGGCUUUUCCUUUUCACCGAAGGGAAAGAUUACCCUGCAAUUUAUGGAGCGGCUUGAAGAGGGUGUGUCAUCGAAGCGAAACCCAUCCCCUUGAUUCUCCUCCCCUUUGCCUAGAAAAACGGAAUCUUCCCUUAAAGCGAGGCUUGUUUGUAGUUGGACGCUCUAAUUAAUUGAUACGCGGUUGAUUAACGAUCACUGCUGAUAAAAUCGACGAAUAUACAACAUUUAUUUCCAUUAAUCUUGUCUGAUGUAAAACAUUGAAAUAUUAUCAAAAAUACGGUGACUCGCGCUAACUUCCGAAUAUUUCAUAGCAUCUAAACUUUGUUUAAUUGGCAAAACUACAUGCAUUAAAUUAAUAAAAUACCAGGAUGUCUCUACCAAUUGCAAUAUUUAUUUCGGUACGUUAAAAGACAGUCAAGCAAUUGGAUAUUAUAAACGAAUGUAUAGGAUAAUGAGAUGCGAAAUAAAGUACAAUGUACAGAUAACAAAUUUGUUCGAGCGUCGUUAUAAUUAUAAACUAAUAUUCGGAAAUUAGGAUAAAUUAGAAUAAAAGUUGCUACGCUAUUUAUACUCGAUUUAUCCUUUUACGCCCUACGAGUCCUUUCUCUAGAAAACCGCUCAAUUUUAUUUGAUAUAUGGCGUCGUACGAUAUUUAAUAUUUCCAUAAAUUUCUUCCACCGAUAUAAAACAUUUUCAUAAAUGGAACGCAAGACGGCGACAGCGGUGGUUAAAGAUCGGAAAUGGAAGGUUUUUAGAGAAGGCAGGAAGGUCUCAUAGAAAUUCGUUGCCUUCUAGAUGCUAUCAAAUGGGAUACAGGGGCGAGAGGGAAACGAAAUCGAUGGAUGAAUCGAAGAAACAGCGGAAAAAUCAAGGGAAAAGAAGCCUCCUCUGAAUUCCAGACCAAUCGUCCGCGGAAUUGCAGCGAUCUGCGCGACCAGGGAUUACUCGUGGAAACCAAUCGGCUCCUUUCAACCGAUUGAAUCGGUCGACAGAACCGGUUUUCUCGGUGAAUUAAACGGAAAUCCUAACCAAGAAUUUGGCUGGCCGAAGGGAAAACCGGAUGAGAACGAUCGUAAAUAUCGCACGAGGACGAAGGAACCAUUGCUCCAUAUAAGCAAAAUAGAGACAAUCCAAGCUAAAAUUCUUAGAUCAAUUGUAAACGUCCCAUGGUACGUUAGAAACGAGGACAUACGGAAAGACCUUGGAAUACCAACGGUCAAGGAAGAGAUUAGCAGAUUCGCAAGAAGGUGCAGAGAAAGAAUAGCAACGCACCCGAACCGGCUGGCAGCGGAAACGAUCAACACAAGCAUAGAAAGAAGACUAAAAAGGAAACACCCAGCAGAUCUCAUAAAGGAUAUAUCCUAACAAACACGAAGAUGGCACCCCAUUGGGGGUAGCCACCCACAUGAUAAUCAAACGACUAAAAAUUCUACCAAAUGUCCAAAUUGGACAAAUUGUGAAUGUGAAAUAUUAAAUUAAAAAAAAAAAAAAAUUAUUACAGUUGCGUGACUCUCGUUAAGAUCGACAUCUUCAAACUAACGUAAAUUCUCUUGUAUUGAUUUUAUUAAAAAGGAAUUGUAAUUUAUACUACAAAUACUCACACGAUACAAAAAACGAUUGGCAGGUGUUUGAUAUACGUUUCAAUUGUCUUUGCCAAUUCUUGAGAGCUAGAUGCCGAAAACAAUACGACCGUUUGUAAAUUUUUUUUCAUUCUCGAUGUACCCUAGAUACCACCGAACGUUCGCACGGCACAAUUUCCGCGUCGAACCGGAAGCCAUGCUGGCGUUCGUGCAGAAACACGGCAAAUCAAGGAAAGAAUGCGGCAGCGUUGACAAAGAGCGACGAAAACGACCAGCAAGAAACCCAUCCGUUUUCUGAAAAGCUCCUCGUCAAAGAAAUUCCUGCUGCCUAAACUGGAGAACCAGAACGCUCUUCAAAAGUUCGUCGAAACUUUUUAAAAGGAACAAUACUUUUCGCGAUCGUACAGAUAUACCAGUCGCUGUGCUCUGUCCAAAUAAUACUUAAACACACCUCUGUUGCGGCACAAGACGACGAUAGACCGUGUAAAAUCUUCGAACCGAACUAUUUAUUCUACGAAUGAAUUGUUCCAAAUCCAAAUGGGAGGAACAAAGAAGCUGAAUUCUGCUUCCUAAGAAGCGACUGUCCUUGAGUGUGUCAUAAGUCUGGUUUACGCUUUAGCUCUCUUUCGAACGAUAUAACGUUAUAAGCCUUGACCAUCGUCUAUGCGGUUCAGAAUUUGAUUCCUUUGACCAGCGAAUCCAGAAUAAAAGAGAAGAAACCCGAAAGAGACAAAAAGAGCGAAAGAAAGGAAAAGACAAGAGGAUGGCUACGAAAUCGAGCACGAUUCGCGUAUUAAGAAGCACCCACACGGUCACCCUUGACGAAAUAAAGAACCAGGUGGUGGUGAGCGACGAAGGAGAAAGAGGAAAGAGGAGAACAGGCUUUAGCGGGGCCAGAACACUCGAGCACGAGGGUGUGGAUUACGCGGCGAGCGUGAAACGUGCCAAGAGGCGCGAAAACCGUCGUCACCGCUAGCGUGGAGAGAGAAGGGGAUCCCGAAGCUUCUCCUCCUGGAGAGAGAUCGUCGCUGACGAUCACGACGGGGAACCUUCCGUCGCGGUAGUCGGAAACAGAAGGGAAAAGUGGGAUAGAGAAGAGAUCGUCGAGGAGACAAUGCAUCGUCCUCCAUUGCGACGCGAGUUGAGCCUCCACUCUUCGAGGAAACUGGCGAAGUUUCCGAGCAGCUACGGAGGGAAACGCUUUUCGUCGUCCGACAGCCAAUCCUCUAUUUCUCUCUCACCUUCACCUUUCUCAAAUAAUAGAAGACUCAAGACCUAUCCUACCAUGCACGUUCGCGAAAUUCAUUACAGCGAACAUGUGAGAUACGUGCUACUUUUCGAGCUGUAAUUACCGAAACCGUUACUAAUCGACGCGAUCCAUGGGACAGACACGUACGUAUACCGGUAUGUCCUCGUUGUUCGAUGGUUGGUAAUAUGUUGGGUAGCGGAAGAUAUAUCUAGCGUUUGGGAGACCAAUGUUUUACGGGCCUGCGGAUAUUUACUGGCCGAUUGUGGAGCGUUUCUAGGGCUGGCCUGGCUUGCUGGCCGAAUUGCUCUGUGGGGGUUUGGACGUUCCACGCUGCAGGGGAGUAAAUGUUCCAGUGGUAUCGAAGUUUGAUGGAUGUUUGCAGAGUUGGAUUAUUUUAAAACGGUGGGUAUCUUCAUAAGUGAAAUAUAAAUAGAAAAAUCUAAAUGGUCCUGCUAUCUAUUUCGGUAAUGGUUAAGUUCCUAUCGGUGUCGUUGGACCAUAGGUGGACCAUAGGUGAACCAUAGGGAAUCUAAAUUAUCUAAUUUUACAGCUACUGGUAUCUGUUGAAUGUGUCUAUAUAUGCCAUUCAGAGAUAGUUACGCGAAGGUGGUAUUCCAGUUGAAGACCUAAGAUAUCUCGAUCUACUAAAAAACUUUCGCGCGCAAAGUAAUUUUCCAACUUCGCAAAAACUUGGAAGAGGACUUCAACGACUAUCGACUUUACCCAACUACGUUCUGACCUCCAAUGUAAUCGAUUACAGUCCGAAUAAACAGACUCCUACGUCGCUCAAGGACCUCAUCUGGUCAACCAACGAGAACCAUCUGCCGUUACUUUCCAUGAAAAUUCACCAGUCGUCCAACAAUUGCAGCGUAUCCGCCGAUUAAGCCAUACAAUUGUUCUUCGUCCUCUGAUCUAACCAUUCUCUUUUCUUCUUUCCUUCUGCUCUGCUCGUGGUUCGUCGACAAGCCCUUUCUGAAAAAUUCUUCUGGAAAAUAUCUUUUCCAAUAACGAAUUCCUUCGAAUAGCUGUUACAAACGUCCAGAGUAUUUUAUCUCCUGUCUAUGUCUUUCGAAUCAGUUUUGUAAAGACGACGAUAAAUAACGAUAAAACUAUACUACAUUCGACGAGUAAGACAAACGAAGCGAACGUUUCAGCUACGAUUCAAAACUUCUUGGAUAGACGAGAUUCGGAACAAUCGUCUCUCAUCGCAAUGCUAAUGAAACUCUAAAAUACUCUAUAACACAUACUGUUCGGGAUUUGGAGUGGUCGCCUGGUAAUUACCGCGACGCUUUAUGUGAACCAGAUGCGAUCCGCGGGCAGGACGACCGUCAAGGAUCUACGCUACCCUAGUGCGGACCCACCAUAAACAGUGGGCCUAUUGUACAGUCAAGGUACUUUAGGACCCCACGGAGAAACUUCUUUAUUUUAUGCUACAUCUCAGGAAGACCGGACACGCGGGUUGCCCCAAGUGUAAGGUCACCCGCGCGCGAACCUUUGCGAAGGCAGCCAGCCCAUCCUCGAACAUACGUCUUUACCCAAUGAUCAGUUAGGAACAGACUUGAGACACACCCACCACGAACCUUCCUCUACGACAGCAACAUCACCAAGAGUCACUCUUGCACCAGUAUUCUAAGAGUCAACGUUAACAGUAUUCAGUCAGUGACCAUUAUAUUUAACAGGAUAGCCAGUGAACUAAAGACAGUUGUAUUCGGAGUAUUAAGUGGAACCCAGUGAACUUAAAGACAGUUGUAUUCAAAGUAUUAAGUGGAACCCAGUGAACUAAAGACAGUUGUAUUCGGAGUAUUAAGUGGAACCCAGUGAACUUAAAGACAGUUGUAUUCGGAGUAUCGAGUGGAAUAAAUAAGGUGAACUAAACCUCGCUCUGUACAUUUAUUAUAAUUCUCCACCUUGGACGCUAAUAACGUUCAAGGCUCGCGAUACCAACCGAUCAGUUGUGCCUGACUGGUCGAUAGUUAGCCGAGUGUCGCAACACAUACAAUAUGUACAUAAGAGUUUUCUACGGUAACAGUUCAAAUACUCUUGUGAGCCACUAUAAGUGCGUUCCACUUGCCAAUUUUCUUUUACACGGGGUACUUUUCUUCGUACGUCCCAUGGAUAACGAAACGCAAAUCCCUUGGCGAUAUUUCUGUCGAGUCACGAGAAAUUCGAUCGGUGGAUGAGUCCUUUUUUUUUUAUCAGGGAUCAUCGAUGUAUAAUUCAGAGCAGAAUUGACGGGGGUAGUCGGGGUGGAUCUCUCCGAAACAAUGCGGCGUGCGUAGUCGAGUGUGCGAUUGCACAUCGUCAAGCGUAUUUCAUCGAUCAGGCACGGCCAGUGAAUUUGUAUCGAACGGCGAGUUGUCGCGAUGCAAAUUUCAUCGCCACUCGCCGUUGUAUCUGCUGUUUUAUAAUCCCUUGUUGGGAAUUUUGUAACGUUGUAAAUCGUAAUUUCGAGCCAAUCAACGCGAAUGCUCCGAUACGUUCGAUUGACGGAGGAGAAAUUUCGAAUGGCGCCUGCUAACUUCGUUACAUUACUUAUGCAUUACCUAUAUGGUAAAAUAAAAACAGAAUAAGUGGUUAAUCGAGAUGGAGAAACAUUUUUAAGCCUUUGGCGAUCGCAGUGAUCGCGUUCGUUCAUAAUAAAUUUAAUGAGUGAAAAAGCUUGAUAAUUAUUAGGAAAUUAUUAAAGCCUUUAAGCGUUUUUAUCUCAUUUUAAAUCGUACAUUGCAAAGAAUUCGUAUGUAUAUUCGUGAAUAUAAUAAUCUUACCAAUUACGCAUAUAAAUAAAUUAAAUUCUUCGUUCAUAUAUAUCUACGAAAGAGUUUUAAGUAGAACGACGGGAAUUUUCGACUUGAAGCAAGCAAGCAAGCAAGUUUUAUGUAAAUUAACUUUAAAUAAAAAUAGAAAUGAAAGACUGUUCGAGUGGAAUAGGGGUAAAUGUUUGGGUAGAGAAAUAUCAAUAGAUGGUAUUGAACAGAGCGGAACGUGGAUGCACUAAGCAUGAAUUUACCGAGCAGCGUGAAGCGUGCAAAUUCACGGACGACCCAUUGACCAUCCAAAUUGUUGAUCGAUAAUGUCGCACGGCAAGAUGUACGCAAUAAGGGACAACAAAGACUCGAGUAUCUGGGACUGGAAUGUACUCUCCUCUAAAGCGGCUAUGCAAUUAACACCCUUCCAGAGGGACAUUGUUAACACGCCUAUCUAGAUAGUUUGGGGAUGAUAAAUGCUGAAACGUCUGAAACAUCAUACGCUGAACAAUUUCGAUGUGCCCAGUGGAGAUUUACGAGGGAAUUCAACAUGCUCCGAGAUUCGGAUAAUAUUAAUAGAUAAAUUGCUAUCGUAGAAAUACGAUUGUUUGAUUAAUUUUAUUUUUAAAAAAUUGUGGUUCACUGCGAUACUUAUUUUUAUAAACACGAUCGAAAAAGCGGAAACCAAAUAUAGACGUUCGUUUUAUCUUCUAAAUGCGAUAACGAAUAUUAUAAAACGUCGGUAUUCGUUUCACGAAGGAAGAAACGACGCUUUAAACUGUUAAACAGCAAUUAAUCAAAGCUGAAAAACGUGAUAGACGAUUACGUAAUAACGAGCUCUGUUUACCGAUCGAUCAUAAAUCUUCGUGUAGAUCGCAGUCGAUGUAGCUAACGACACUCUUUCAAAUUAUACUUCCGGAAAGGCAGCCAGCGUUUCCUGGUACCAAUCAGAAAUAUACGCUGUUCCGUGUAUCGGUUAUCAGCGAUCUAUUCGCGGUAGUGGCAAAUCGAACCCAAGAGGUGUGCGUGAGACCGCCGCGAUUUUUUCCAUCCUGUUCAUGCAAAUGCCAGUCGCGCUUUACGACUUCUAACGAACCUCAUUGCCACUGCCUUCAAUUUUAUUCCCGAUCCAUCCUAUCGAUACUUUUAUUCCUUUCGCAAACGAGAAAUAAAAAAGGAAAAGGAAGAAAAAAGAAGAAACUACAAGCGUCGCCAUGAUGAAGCAAAAAAAAAGUACUGAAAAAGAAGAAGUACAGUACGUUAUUCGAUUUUUUCUUAUUUUGCGUGAAAAUAAAUUUUCUCUCGCGUAUAUGACUUCGCGACGAAAGAAAAUGCAAAAGUUUACUCCAGACUUCCCGAGUUUCAAAUAUUCGCGCUGGUUUAACUCUUUGAGCGAGGCAAUGUUUUCUUAUUAAUUAACCAAUUAAUUAAUUUAAGUCACUAGUAACGUAUUAGAACUAUCCAGUUUCUCGUAUUGAAAAUCGAAGUACACAUUGCUGUAUAGUCGAGGCAAAACGUAACUGGCGAUGCUAUUCGAUUGCACCGGCUAAUGGAAAAUUUUCCGACCCGGUUGCAAGAAUGUAUUAGGUGAGGUCACUUGGAAAAUGUCGUGUUUGGAAAUAAUCGAACAAUUAGGAAAUUGCAUUAGGUAAUUAUUUUUUAAACAACUACGUGUUUCCAGAUAGAUCUUGAUCACACGUUGAUAAAAUCUAUUCGAUCGAUUAUUGGAAAUAACGUAUAAAGAAUGUUGGCAUUUCCAUCUCUUAGAGGUACUCAAAUCUUUUCGCACUCUAGAAGAUUGGCAUCUCGGAACCAUUUGAUUUAGAGAAAAAUUCAAGCGAAUGUCUGCGAUCGUUUCUGAGGAAAGAAUUUGUAACGUUUCACGCGUAUAAAAUUCUACAGAGGAAGUACUUGUAAAUAUUAGGUUGCCCGAAAAGUGUCUUUCUUUCGCAAACGUGUUUUUUACAACAGUGCAAGCUUCAUACAAACGUGAAACCAAGUCUGUGAAAUGUCGCGGUGUUUAUCUCAAGAGAACAAGAUGGAUCGUACGUAAUUCGACAAAAUAAUAUAAAACAAAAAACAUUGUGCGUCUAUUAUUUCCUCAUAAAACGAAAGAAACUUUUCAUCCAAGUUCCAACUAUAUUUUAUAUAUAGUACAUUCUAACGAAAAUGACAUUUUAAAACAUCUUCAGGAUUAAGGAGCAGAAGAUACUCCGAGUGGAAUGAAAGAAUACCGAAUGGUUGAGGAAGUUUUCACGAGUCGAUCCAUUGAGCACCGAUAAUCAAACGAUCGUCUAAAUAAUAUGCGUCGCAAACAAGUUUUCAGGGAUAUUCGACUACGGUGGAAUAUUCAACCUCUCGACCAAACGAGAAUAAUCGUCCACGUCUGCGAAAUUCAUGGACCGACCGCGAGAGAUAUCGUUAAAUAUUUGUGUCGGUCGUUAUCGAGACGCCGGCGAAUGCACCUUCGCCUGACCCUCCAAUCAUGCCUCGUGGAUAUGGAAAUUCGGUAUUUUUCGUUUACCCGUUAACUCUCUCUCCCUCUCUCGUUCCUGUAACACGAACGAUCGUAGUUUGCUUGGAGGGUGAGGCUGAAACGCAACGUCAUUUGCAUUUCGCGUAAAUAACACGGACACGCCGUAUGAAAUCUCCAUCCUUGCGGAUGUUUCGAAUUUUCAAUUUGUUCUGAUUUUUCCCUUCCUUGCAUGUUUAAUGGAAGGUUAAUUGCAAAGUGGUUAAAAGAUCGAGGAUGUAAAACGCAGAAUAAAUGUUCGUUUCACCGAUCUAAAUUGUUUCUCUCGAGUGAAAACGAUAUUUACCAAAUUACGAUUUUUAUAUUUAUCGAAGCAAUAUUUUCGAUUUUGAAGAAACUCGAUGACGAAACUCUUCGCGAAUAAUCCAGCAUGGAUUUCAGAAAUAAUUCUUUUCCCUCGCUACCCUAUGAAAUGUCCACUCUGAAACGCACUUUUUCCUACGUUCACACCAACCCACUCGACUUCACUGUCUCUCGUACUGUAUUAUUCGUCUCUUAUUUGUCAGCUUAACCCCUUAACCUACGAUUUACGUUCGAGAAUUUUCGAAAACGUAACAAGCUAUUGUAUAUUAUAUUAUACAGGGUGGUUGGUAACUGGUGGUACAAGCGGAAAGGGGGUGAUUCUACGCGAAAAAGGAAGUCGAAAAUACAGAAUAAAAAUUUUUCGUUCGAGGCUUUGUUUUCGAGAAAAUCGACUUUGAAUUUUCGCUCGGUACGCGUGCAGUACGUUAUAACGGAUCUCACUGUAGAUCGUUGUCUCGAUGGAAAAAUUAAAAAAAAAAAAAUUUUUGUUCUAUAUUUUCGACUUCUUUUUUCGCGUAAAAUCACCCCCUUUCCGCUUGUACCACCAGUUACCAACCAUCCUGUAUAUUAUAUUUGGCCCGAUCAUCGUACUACGGACUGUGCCCGUAAUAUUUACCUCUGGCUCGAUCACCGUAUUACGGACUAUGCCCGUAGUCGUAGGUUAAAUAUAGGAUUAUACAGCGGUGUAAGCGUUAUCGCGCGAGAGAACACGGAGGAGAGAGCGCGGAACAAUCUUUAUCGGAUCGCCACCGCCGACCAGAUGAUAUCUCCUAAACUGAACUUGGAGGGAACUCUCCGUGCAUUCAUGCGCCGUAUCUAGUCGUGUAAUGAGUUCGAUCCUGUCGUAAAACUCACGAAUAAACGAGCAUUCGCGAAACCAAGCUGCGGGCAAAGUGAAUUUAAGGGUAUACAGGUUUCUUUCUUUUUCUGCCUUCAAGCGUCGCUAGAUAAAUCGCACUAUUUUGCAACUUCAUGCCUUUAGAGCAAAAGAGUUUUACGGGUUUACGCGUCUCUUACGAAAUAAUCUUGCAAAACGAAGGCAAUUGUUCGUAGGACGCUGUGUUAAUUAAUUUCAGUCAAAUUUUAAACGUAUUUCGCAAAUAUUCGCAAAAAUUUAUUUUCUAGAUUAUAAUUUUAAUUAAUAGUUUUGGAAAUUAGUAUACGAUUGUUAAAAGGUAAAGAUAUAAUCGAUAGGAAAUGUGGAUAGUAGAAAUAUUUUGAAAUAAACACGAGGAAAUUGAAUUAUAUUGAUAUUGAUUUAGCAGAGUGGCUCUUAAGUAGAAAAUCCCAGUAUGCGAUCAGACAGAAUCACAGUGGUUUUCAAUAGAGAGUAUCGAAUAUUCAACGCAAUUUGUUCAACCAAUAUUCUCGCAGAAAAUACAAGUAGCUCGUGAAAACCGUUAUCAUUUUCAAAUCACAAACUUAUACUAUUCCCAACGAGCCACGUUUUACCAUGCGCUGUAUUUCCUCAGCCGA